GGGAGACCUGUUUCAUGUUAACUAUCCUGGUGGAGCGACAUUUAGCAACUUUGGCUCCAGAAUUUGGAGGCUGUGCAUCAUGGAUUGUGAACUUGGUUCCCAGAAAAUUGGAUCUCAACUGCUUCCCCUGGACACAUCACCAAAGUUUAAAGAUAUAAUGUAAUCUGUGCAAGUAGGCCUUCUGCACCUUCGUGCAGCAAGAAGAAACUUACCAUCAUCAUUUGACGCUUGAUUUAAGCCAAGGUAAAGAUAAUAUGUUUGGUUGCUACGAUUCCGUUUGAUGUAGCACUGAAGAAGAGAGUCCCUCGGACCAGGCUGUUUCAAGGAGAUUGGGAAUGUCAAUUUGCCUGAAUCUUCCAGAGUUUUCACAAUUUCUUUCAUGAUCUCUCUCCAAUUUCUACAGACACCAGCACAAGCAACCACAUUCUUCAGGGAUGGCCAGGUAGUCUCAGAUGCCUCAAUUCUCAUCAGCACAUCCCUCAAAAGCUCAGGCGGCAU
rnacentral:misc_RNA from 1 species